AUUGAACGCUGGCGGAAUGCUUUACACAUGCAAGUCGCACGGCAGCACGGACUUCGGUCUGGUGGCGAGUGGCGAACGGGUGAGUAAUACAUCGGAACGUGCCCAGUCGUGGGGGAUAACGUAGCGAAAGCCACGCUAAUACCGCAUACGAUCUAAGGAUGAAAGCGGGGGAUCGGAAGACCUCGCGCGAUUGGAGCGGCCGGUGGCAGAUUAGGUAGUUGGUGGUGCAAAGGCUCACCAAGGCGACGAUCUGUAGCUGGUCUGAGAGGACGACCAGCCACACUGGGACUGAGACACGGCCCGGAGUCCUACGGGAGGCAGCAGUGGGGAAUUUUGGACAAUGGGCGCAAGCCUGAUCCAGCCAUUCCGCGUGCAGGAUGAAGGCCCUCGGGUUGUAAACUGCUUUUGUACGGAACGAAAAGCCUCUGGUUAAUACCUGGGGCUCAUGACGGUACCGUAAGAAUAAGCACCGGCUAACUACGUGCCAGCAGCCGCCGUAA
rnacentral:rRNA from 1 species